rnacentral:rRNA from 1 species
GUCCACGCCGUAAACGGUGGAUGCUGGAUGUGGGGCCCUUUUCCGGGGUCCUGUGUCGGAGCUAACGCGUUAAGCAUCCCGCCUGGGGAGUACGGCCGCAAGGCUAAAACUCAAAGAAAUUGACGGGGCCCGCACAAGCGGCGGAGCAUGCGGAUUAAUUCGAUGCAACGCGAAGAACCUUACCUGGGCUUGACAUGUGCCGGACGCCCGCGGAGACGCGGGUUCCCUUCGGGGCCGGUUCACAGGUGGUGCAUGGUCGUCGU